GACCAGACUCCUACGGGAGGCAGCAGUGGGGAAUAUUGGACAAUGGGGGGAACCCUGAUCCAGCGACGCCGCGUGAGUGAAGAAGUAUUUCGGUAUGUAAAGCUCUAUCAGCAGGGAAGAAAGAAAUGACGGUACCUGACUAAGAAGCCCCGGCUAACUACGUGCCAGCAGCCGCGGUAAUACGUAGAGGGCAAGCGUUAUCCGGAUUUACUGGGUGUAAAGGGAGCGUAGACGGCGAUGCAAGUCUGAAGUGAAAGGCGGGGGCCCAACCCCCGGACUGCUUUGGAAACUGUAUAGCUGGAGUGCAGGAGAGGUAAGUGGAAUUCCUAGUGUAGCGGUGAAAUGCGUAGAUAUUAGGAGGAACACCAGUGGCGAAGGCGGCGUACUGGACUGUAACUGACGUUGAGGCUCGAAAGCGUGGGGAGCAAACAGGAUUAGAUACCCUUGUACAC
rnacentral:rRNA from 1 species